UAAAGCGUAAAAGAGCGUAGAGUGAAUGCCUUGGCAUUGGGAGCCGACGAAGGACGUGGUUAACUGCGAAAAGCUACGGGGAGUCGUAAGCAGACAUUGAUCCGUAGAUGUCCGAAUGGAGCAAUCCGCAUGGAGUUAGUCUAUGCAUCCAUAAGUGAAUUCAUAGCUUAUGGAGGGGAACCGCCUGAACUGAAACAUCUAAGUAGGGCGAGGAAGAGAAAUCAAACGAGAUUUCGUAAGUAGUGGCGAGCGAACGCGAAAGAGGCUAAACCAAGAGAAGAAAUUCUUUUGGGGUUACGGACUGCGAUAUGUAUCUGAGGACUUAGCAGAAUGGUAUGGGAAAGCCAACCAGAGAAUGUGAUAGUCAUGUAUGCGAAAAGGAAUCAGAGCUAGCAGGAUCCAAAGUACCGCGGGACACGAGGAAUCCCGUGGGAAGUCGGGGGGACCACCCUCCAAGCCUAAAUACUACCCAAUGACCGAUAGCGAAAAGUACUGUGAAGGAACGGUGAAAAGAACCCCGGGAGGGGAGUGAAAAGAACCUGAAACUCUAUGCUUACAAGCACAUAGAGCACGUCAAAGUGUGAUAUGGUACCUUUUGUAGAAUGGUCCGGCGAGUUAUUGUAUGCAGCAAGGUUAAGGUCUUCAGGACUGAAGCCGAAGCGAGAGCGAGUCUGACAAGGGCGAUAAGUUGCAUGCAAUAGACCCGAAACCGGGUGACCUAGCCAUGUUCAGGUUGAAGUGGAGGUAAAGCUCCAUGGAGGACCGAACCGACCUCCGUUGAAAAGGCGGCGGAUGAAAUGUGGCUAGCGGAGAAAUUCCAAUCGAACCCGGAAAUAGCUGGUUCUCCCCGAAAUAGCUUUAGGGCUAGCGUUGUAUUAGAUUUCUGGGGGUAAAGCACUGAAUAGGCUAGGGGCCGAGAGGUUACUGAACCUUAUCAAACUAAGAAUACCAGAAAAUUGAUGUACAGCAGUCAGACUAUGUGAGAUAAGUCUCAUAGUCAAAAGGGAAACAGCCCAGACCCACAGCUAAGGUCCCAAAACAGAUUUAAGUGGAAAAGGAUGUGGGAUUGCCCAGACAACCAGGAUGUUGGCUUAGAAGCAGCCACACAUUAAAAGAGUGCGUAAUAGCUCACUGGUCGAGUGAUCCUGCGCCGAAAAUUCAACGGGGCUAAAAUUUGUACCGAAGCUUGGGCUUGAUACAUUCGUAUCAGGGGUAGGGGAGCGUCAUGUAUGAGGUGAAGUCGUAGCGAAAGCGGCGGUGGAUUGUACAUGAGAGAGAAUGCCGGAAUGAGUAGCGAGAAUUAUGUGAGAAUCAUAAUGGCCGAAAAUCUAAGGUUUCCUGAGGAAGGUUCGUCCGCUCAGGGUAAGCCGGGAGCUAAGGUGAGGCGGAAACGCGUAGCCGAUGCACAUACGGUAGAGAUUCCGUAGCCUCCGAAAAGUAAAGCACAGGGACGCUUCAGAAGUGUUACGCCGGGCGAUGGUUGCCCCGGUUGUAAAGGACACAAUUGAGUGGAAGGUAACAUGGAUGGAGACAAGAAAAGCUGUGUGUAUCUGGAAGGAGCCCGUACCGCAAACCGACACAGGUAGAUAGGAAGAAGAUUCUAAGGCCAGCGGGAGAAGGGUUGUUAAGGAACUCGGCAAGUUGACCCCGUAACUUCGGGAGAAGGGGUGCUUACGAAGGUAAGCCGCAGAGAAUAGGCCCAAGCGACUGUUUAGCAAAAACACAGCUCUAUGCUAAAUCGAAAGAUGACGUAUAUGGGGUGACACCUGCCCGGUGCUGGAAGGUUAAGAGGAGAUGUGAGAGCAUUGAAUUGAAGCCCCAGUAAACGGCGGCCGUAACUAUAACGGUCCUAAGGUAGCGAAAUUCCUUGUCAGGUAAGUUCUGACCCGCACGAAUGG
rnacentral:rRNA from 1 species